UGAGACUGUAGGCAUUUACUGUGGGUGCCCCACGUGUCCAGUGGGUGUUUGGUGUCUGUCCUUGUGAUCGGUAGUCAGGGGUGCCGAACGUUGUCUUACCAAUUCACUCUUUUAGUCCACGUGUCGCUCCCUUAUUGGUCUGUCACUUGUGGUAUAAACAGCAGCAAGGGUGGAGCUCAGAGCUUCUAUAUUAGUAACCAGAACAUCACACUAGUGUCUAUAUUCAAUUAGGAUUAUAAAGCAUUUAAAAAGAUUUUAAAAAUCCGGGUGUAUUCAAUUUGAAUUUAUACAAACUUUAAAAAAGGUUUUACAAGUCUAGGUGUAUUCAAUUCUGACUAGUAUGAACUUUCAAAAAGUCCAUUCAAAUAUGGGUGUAUUCAAUUAGGAUUAUAAAAAAGUUGAAUCAAAUCUAGGUGUAUUCAAAAGGUCAUAUAUUUGGAAGGAUUUCAUUAAGUGAUAAAUUUUAGUAGGUUUUAAGGUGAGAGCUAUAAAUAACAAAGACCAUAAUAAGUCCAACCUCCCCCCAAAGUAUUUCAUCAGAUUUUUUCUCUCUCCCUAGCUUUUCUCUCUGCAACAGAAGACAAACAGCCUCCUUCCUCUAUCUAUGAAGGUAUGCUCCCUAUUUUUUCUUUGAUCAAUACCUCGUUGAGUUUUCUUUUUUCAUUAUUUUUUUUCCUUGAUUUUUCUUCAUUGUGUUUUUCUUGUUAUUUGGGUGUAGUUUGGGGUUACAGGUUUAGCUUGGGGUUAGGGUUUAUGCUUUGUUACUAGGGUUUAUGCUUGUUACUAGGGUUUAUACUUGUUUUCCUUAUAAAAUAUCUAUAUACCACUUUAUAAGAAUUGUUCAUUGAAUCACUGGAUAGGAUAGGAAAUAGAAAUAUAGUAACUGAAAACCUUUCUAUAAUCGAACAAAAAAACUGAGACAAAUAGAGAUAAACAGUAAAAAAAACAAAAAAACAAAAACAAAAAACAAAAAGCCAAAAAUUAACUACAAGUUUUAAAUGAUGCUUUGGAAGCCUAAACGACCUCAAAAGCCCAAAAUCCAUCAUAUGUCGCAGUGAGUUUGACUCGUGGCAUCGUUCCCUUUUCAAAAAGGUAUCAUAUAUCUCAAUCGAAGCUCAGACGCCAAAUCUGUAAAUUCCUACUGCGCCAUUUUUCCAUUCUUCACUCCAAUUCUUC
rnacentral:lncRNA from 1 species